GUCGAACGAGAGAAUUGCUAGCUUGCUAAUAAUUCUCUAGUGGCGCACGGGUGAGUAACACGUGAGUAACCUGCCCCCGAGAGCGGGAUAGCCCUGGGAAACUGGGAUUAAUACCGCAUAGUAUCGAAAGAUUAAAGCAGCAAUGCGCUUGGGGAUGGGCUCGCGGCCUAUUAGUUAGUUGGUGAGGUAACGGCUCACCAAGGCGAUGACGGGUAGCCGGUCUGAGAGGAUGUCCGGCCACACUGGAACUGAGACACGGUCCAGACACCUACGGGUGGCAGCAGUCGAGAAUCAUUCACAAUGGGGGAAACCCUGAUGGUGCGACGCCGCGUGGGGGAAUGAAGGUCUUCGGAUUGUAAACCCCUGUCAUGUGGGAGCAAAUUAAAAAGAUAGUACCACAAGAGGAAGAGACGGCUAACUCUGUGCCAGCAGCCGCGGUAAUACAGAGGUCUCAAGCGUUGUUCGGAAUCACUGGGCGUAAAGCGUGCGUAGGCUGUUUCGUAAGUCGUGUGUGAAAGGCGCGGGCUCAACCCGCGGACGGCACAUGAUACUGCGAGACUAGAGUAAUGGAGGGGGAACCGGAAUUCUCGGUGUAGCAGUGAAAUGCGUAGAUAUCGAGAGGAACACUCGUGGCGAAGGCGGGUUCCUGGACAUUAACUGACGCUGAGGCACGAAGGCCAGGGGAGCGAAAGGGAUUAGAUACCCCUGUAGUCCUGGCAGUAAACGGUGCACGCUUGGUGUGCGGGGAAUCGACCCCCUGCGUGCCGGAGCUAACGCGUUAAGCGUGCCGCCUGGGGAGUACGGUCGCAAGAUUAAAACUCAAAGAAAUUGACGGGGACCCGCACAAGCGGUGGAGUAUGUGGCUUAAUUCGAUGCAACGCGAAGAACCUUACCUGGGCUUGACAUGUAAUGAACAACAUGUGAAAGCAUGCGACUCUUCGGAGGCGUUACACAGGUGCUGCAUGGCCGUCGUCAGCUCGUGUCGUGAGAUGUUUGGUUAAGUCCAGCAACGAGCGCAACCCCUGUUGCCAGUUACCAGCACGUGAAGGUGGGGACUCUGGCGAGACUGCCCAGAUCAACUGGGAGGAAGGUGGGGACGACGUCAGGUCAGUAUGGCCCUUAUGCCCAGGGCUGCACACGUACUACAAUGCCCAGUACAGAGGGGGCCGAAGCCGCGAGGCGGAGGAAAUCCUAAAAACUGGGCCCAGUUCGGACUGUAGGCUGCAACCCGCCUACACGAAGCCGGAAUCGCUAGUAAUGGCGCAUCAGCUACGGCGCCGUGAAUACGUUCCCGGGUCUUGUACACACCGCCCGUCACAUCAUGGAAGCCGGUCGCACCCGAAGUAUCUGAAGCCAACCGCAAGGAGGC
rnacentral:rRNA from 1 species